rnacentral:ncRNA from 1 species
GCCUGUUCACUCCACGACAUGAACGGCGUACAAACUAAAGGAGGAAAUGUCAACUCCGUCGGCUCACGGUGCGGCAGUGUGGAGACCUGUCGUAACGCGGAACGUUCCGAAGCGGAUGUCCGUAAGUCGGCAUAGCGGAGGCUUUGCCGUCAGAGUCAGGAUUAUGUC